AGUAAAUAGAUACCCAGGUAGUCCACGCCGUAAACGAUGUCGACUUGGAGGUUGUGCCCUUGAGGCGUGGCUUCCGGAGCUAAACGCGUUAAGUCGACCGCCUGGGGAGUACGGCCGCAAGGUUAAAACUCAAAUGAAUUGACGGGGGCCCGCACAAGCGGUGGAGCAUGUGGUUUAAUUCGAUGCAACGCGAAGAACCUUACCUACUCUUGGCAUCCAGAGAACUUAGCAGAGAUGCUUUGGUGCCUUCGGGAACUCUGAGACAGGUGCUGCAUGGCUGUCGUCAGCUCGUGUUGUGAAAUGUUGGGUUAAGUCCCGCAACGAGCGCAACCCUUAUCCUUUGUUGCCAGCGGUUAGGCCGGGAACUCAAAGGAGACUGCCAGUGAUAAACUGGAGGAAGGUGGGGAUGACGUCAAGUCAUCAUGGCCCUUACGAGUAGGGCUACACACGUGCUACAAUGGCGCAUACAAAGAGAAGCGACCUCGCGAGAGCAAGCGGACCUCAUAAAGUGCGUCGUAGUCCGG
rnacentral:rRNA from 1 species